GAUGAACGCUGGCGGCGUGCCUAAUACAUGCAAGUCGAGCGAACAGACGAGGAGCUUGCUCCUUUGACGUUAGCGGCGGACGGGUGAGUAACACGUGGGUAACCUACCUAUAAGACUGGGAUAACUUCGGGAAACCGGAGCUAAUACCGGAUAAUAUUUCGAACCCCAUGGUUCGAUAGUGAAAGAUGGCUUUGCUAUCACUUAUAGAUGGACCUGCGCCGUAUUAGCUAGUUGGUAAGGUAACGGCUUACCAAGGCAACGAUACGUAGCCGACCUGAGAGGGUGAUCGGCCACACUGGAACUGAGACACGGUCCAGACUCCUACGGGAGGCAGCAGUAGGGAAUCUUCCGCAAUGGGCGAAAGCCUGACGGAGCAACGCCGCGUGAGUGAUGAAGGUCUUCGGAUCGUAAAACUCUGUUAUUAGGGAAGAACAAACGUGUAAGUAACUGUGCACGUCUUGACGGUACCUAAUCAGAAAGCCACGGCUAACUACGUG
rnacentral:rRNA from 1 species